UACGUAGGUGGCAAGCGUUAUCCGGAAUUAUUGGGCGUAAAGAGCGCGCAGGUGGUUAAUUAAGUCUGAUGUGAAAGCCCACGGCUUAACCGUGGAGGGUCAUUGGAAACUGGUUGACUUGAGUUGGCGAGAAGUACGCGGAAUGCGCGGUGUAGCGGUGAAAUGCAUAGAUAUCGCGCAGAACUCCGAUUGCGAAGGCAGCGUACCGGCGCCAGACUGACGCUGAGGCACGAAAGCGUGGGGAUCGAACAGG
rnacentral:rRNA from 1 species